UACGAAGGGGGCUAGCGUUGCUCGGAUUGACUGGGCGUAAAGGGCGCGUAGGCGGUUCGUACAGUCAGACGUGAAAUUCCUGGGCUCAACCUGGGGGCUGCGUUUGAUACGUGCGGACUUGAGUGCGGAAGAGGGUCGUGGAAUUCCCAGUGUAGAGGUGAAAUUCGUAGAUAUUGGGAAGAACACCGGUGGCGAAGGCGGCGACCUGGUCCGAUACUGACGCUGAGGCGCGAAAGCGUGGGUAGCAAACAGG
rnacentral:rRNA from 1 species